UACGGGGGGGGGCAAGCGUUGUUCGGAAUUACUGGGCGUAAAGGGCUCGUAGGCGGCCAACUAAGUCAGACGUGAAAUCCCUCGGCUUAACCGGGGAACUGCGUCUGAUACUGGAUGGCUUGAGUGUGGGAGAGGGAUGCGGAAUUCCAGGUGGUAGCGGUGAAAUGCGUAGAUAUCUGGAGGAACACCGGUGGCGAAAGCGGCUCUCUGGCCCCGAUACUGACGCUCAUGUACGAAAGCGUGGGGGAGCAAACAGG
rnacentral:rRNA from 1 species